rnacentral:rRNA from 1 species
UACGAAGGGGGCUAGCGUUGCUCGGAAUCACUGGGCGUAAAGCGCACGUAGGCGGAUUGCUAAGUCAGGGGUGAAAUCCUGGAGCUCAACUCCAGAACUGCCUUUGAUACUGGCAACCUUGAGUCCGGGAGAGGUGAGUGGAACUGCGAGUAUAGAGGUGAAAUUCGUAGAUAUUCGCAAGAACACCAGUGGCGAAGGCGGCUCACUGGCCCGGUACUGACGCUGAGGUGCGAAAGCGUGGGGAGCAAACAGG